UACAGAGGGUGCAAGCGUUAAUCGGAGUUACUGGGCGUAAAGGGCGCGUAGGUGGUUGUGUAAGUGAGAUGUGAAAUCCCUGGGCUUAACCUAGGAACUGCAUCUUAUACUGCAUAACUGGAGUACUGUAGAGGGUAGUGGAAUUUCCGGUGUAGCGGUGAAAUGCGUAGAGAUCGGAAGGAACACCAGUGGCGAAGGCGGCUACCUGGACAGAUACUGACACUGAGGCGCGAGAGCGUGGGGAGCAAACAGG
rnacentral:rRNA from 1 species